rnacentral:rRNA from 1 species
CCGGGGCUUCUUCUGUGGUUACCGUCAUUAUCUUCACCACUGAAAGAGCUUUACAACCCUAAGGCCGUCAUCACUCACGCGGCAUGGCUGGAUCAGGCUUGCGCCCAUUGUCCAAUAUUCCCCA